GGGGUUGUGGCUCAGUGGUAGAGCAUUCACCUAGCACGUGCCAGGCGCUGGGUUCGAUCCUCAACACCA
rnacentral:tRNA from 1 species